rnacentral:lncRNA from 1 species
GGAGCAUCAGUUUUCAGGCCUAGCGGGUUCACAUGAGUACCGGAGAUGCGGUAUCCUGCAUUGAUCACAGCCGAUCGGAAGAUCACUGCAGAUAGGGAAGUGCAUUUCAGCGUUCCACAGAAGUGUACAUUUCAGCGUUCCGCAGAGAUUGUGCAAGCUCAAGAACAGAGGGACAUCAGGCAGUUCCUGGUGAAAAAAACAGCAUCAACACACAAAAUGAAUGAGGACUCUUUAUGCAAACGGUGUUGCAGAGAAC